UACGGAGGGUGCGAGCGUUGUCCGGAAUCACUGGGCGUAAAGGGCGCGUAGGUGGCCCGUUAAGUGGCUGGUGAAAUCCCGCGGCUCAACUGCGGGGCUGCCGGUCAUACUGGCGAGCUAGAGCACGGUAGGGGCAGAUGGAAUUCCCGGUGUAGCGGUGGAAUGCGUAGAGAUCGGGAAGAAUACCAGUGGCGAAGGCGGUCUGCUGGGCCGUUGCUGACACUGAGGCGCGACAGCGUGGGGAGCAAACAGG
rnacentral:rRNA from 1 species